rnacentral:misc_RNA from 1 species
ACGCUAAACUACCCAAACCUUUUCCCUCCGCCGCCCGCCCCAACACGGCGGCGGCAGAGGGGAAAUCACCGAGCGAACCGUUGAAGUCUCCGACAGUGCCCUGCACUGGCGGAACCAUUUAUUAAAAACAACAAAAACAACAAACCCAUUCGUCUGAAACGAGUUUUGCGCUCCGCAAGGAGGCGGCAAAAUGGAAAUUACAAAGAACCAAUGA